UGACCCUUCCCCACCAGGGAACCAAGCUACGGACAGCCGGGUCGACUGCCGC
rnacentral:sRNA from 12 species